UCCUUUAUAGUGUACUGGCUAGCAUCGGCCGCUCCCAUGUAGAGCAUUUAAUCCGGCCAGACCGGGGUUCAAUUUCCCUUAACGGAA